rnacentral:rRNA from 1 species
UACAGAGGUCUCAAGCGUUGUUCGGAUUCAUUGGGCGUAAAGGGUGCGUAGGUGGCGUUAUAAGUCAGGUGUGAAAUCUCGGGGCUCAACCCCGAAACUGCACUUGAUACUGUAAUGCUCGAGUACUGGAGAGGAGAUUGGAAUUUACGGUGUAGCAGUGAAAUGCGUAGAUAUCGUAAGGAAGACCAGUGGCGAAGGCGAAUCUCUGGACAGUUACUGACACUGAGGCACGAAGGCCAGGGGAGCAAACGGG